rnacentral:lncRNA from 1 species
UCAAUGUCUCCACACAACGGGACUCAAGGCAGCAGGAAACUGAACAACUCACAGCUGUGGCCAAAUGAUGCUUCUCAGGAGGCUGGUGUCCAGCAGAAAGAAGCACGUUGCAGAAGGCUAUGUCCUGUAUCAUUCCAUCAUGUGAAGCCCAAAGAUAUGCAAACAGAAAGUUCUAGUUAGAUGAAGAAAGGCGAGAGAAUGGUUUUCCACCUGAGCUACAUCCAGGGAAAUCUCUGACUCCAUUGGAUAAAGGGUGAUGUAUGUGUGAACUGUGCGUGUGGCCAGAGGAGGAGUGGAGAAGGACAACCAGAGGUGAAGAAAGAGUGCUGGUUAGGGCCAAAGACAAGCCGCGAAAUAGGAGAGGUUAUGGGAAAGCUCCUCACGGCACCCAAGGAACACGAGGAUCAACGCUGAAUGUACCAAUUACCGCACAUUGCGUCUACACUCAGGGCCUGAUGAAACCAGUUUGAUUCUGGCCAACAGCCAGGGGAAGAAACCCCACUGGGCCCACUUUCACAAUGCCCUUGAGGAUGGGCCUGGUAAAUGGGUACCUUGGAAGGAAGAAUAAAGGGUUCUGUCCAUUCCUGCCAACUUCUUAUCCAUGCAAGGUCCUAGCAUCAAUUAAAAAUGCCCCGUCCUGUUUGGCCUGUCUGCCAGGGGGCAGGGUGGAAUACACUUGCCUCAUCUAAUACCAGGGAUUGCUCUGCCUUCAUUUCUCCUAAAGCAAAACUUGGCACUGGCCCCCAGCGUGGCAGAAAGACAAGCCCGUCCCUUCCAGGUCAUUCAUUCUUGGCCUCAGCUUGGGGCGGGAAGGUAGGAGACGCAUGAAGCACCUCGGGAAAGUAGCCCACAGAGCUAGCUCACGGAGCUGGCCCAACUUCUCCAACCUCAGGGUUGGUAUCAAAGGGCUGGGGGAACCACUGUGGCUCCAGUUUGCCUGACUUCAGAACUCCAGCGGUUGGGACUUUUUGGUUUUUAUCCCAUUCGUCUUUUUUUUAAGUUUCUAAUCAGCAAGAAUCAGCAAAGCAGCCUUUAUGGUGCAAUAAUUCUGCAUGUCUUGUUAUAAAUAUCCCCAGGCAAAGUUAGGGUUAUUUCAUAUGACUAUCAAAGUAACACGCCCGCUUCGGUUGCAACAAGGAAUCUGUGAGGACUAGCGAGCAGGAAGCUUACCAGCUGCAUUGUAAGAGGCCUUUCUUUUAAUAAAAUGGGCACAUAUUUACCUAUAAAAGAGAAUGACCAGCUGGGCACAUUCAGAGCCCAUGUGACAUAAAGAUACAGAGAGAGAAAUCACAUUAUUUUUGGAAUUAAAAAAAAAAAAAGAAAAAUUCGCCCAUCCACCCACUUCCCAGGAACAGCCCUCAGUUGUGGGUUUUGGCGACAUUGAUGUUUACAAUAAACUCCCAGAGCUCAAAGGCUCCAGGUCCAGUACCAGAGGCCUUGGAUCUAAAGAAGAUGCUGUGGUCUGGUUUUCUUAAAUGGAGAAUGAAGAGCCUCCUCCCCUUCCUCUGAACAAACCUCUGAUGAAAGUUUGAAAUUGUUAAAUCCACGAUGAAACGAUACUCCUAUGGUUCUGUUUUAUUUACUGCAUUCGAUCUUGGUUAUUUAGACCCUGAUGAGGUUCAGCAGGGACACGAGUGAGCUCACAGAGGGGCAGGACAGAGGCAACAAACCCCCGCACUCUGUUCUUUCCUGUGCAAACUUGCUGCUCGGCCUCUUAAGAUUUCCAAACUGCAGGCUCCCUACCAGGGAGGACGGCACAACUUUUUUUUUUUUCCCUCAAACUUCCCCAAAGCUGCAAGUUUGUUCUGGCUAAGAGAGAAAUGUCUGUGAGGGGUCCGAUUUGAGCCGGAGGCUUCAUCCCCCCGGACAAUAGGAUAAUGAAAGGGGAGACACCGAUCUUCCUCGAGUUUCUAGCUUGAGAGACAACAGGGAAUCCCUUUGGGGAGUGAUGGCUGGGAUACCAGACUUCUUCUAUCAACCUGCGUGAGGAGAAGGGUCUCA